CUCAAUAUUCCACCUGAUACCUCCAACAGACUUAAGGAUUGCCUGACCAUCGAGAAAUGAAGGAGCAGUGUGUUGCCAACACUGAGUGGUGCACAGGGAG